CAAAUAUACAAAAAAAGCAAGCGAAGAAGAAAAUAUUGAAACAACACAUAUGCUCGCAUAUAUACAGCACUUCCUUCUUUUAGUCGUUAAUUUCUCCCCUUCUUCUGUCA
rnacentral:ribozyme from 1 species